GCACUCUGGAGAGAACACUUUCUGUCAGAGGAGUGUCACCGAUGGGGCGCCUGCUGCGGCGAAGCUCUCAGGUAAAAGGACAGAGAACAA
rnacentral:ncRNA from 1 species